GGAUGCGAUCAUACCAGCACUAAAGCAUCGGAUCCCAUCAGAACUCCGAAGUUAAGCGUGCUUGGGCGAGAGUAGUACUAUGAUGGGUGACCUCCUGGGAAGUCCUCGUGUUGCAUCCC
rnacentral:rRNA from 1 species